rnacentral:rRNA from 1 species
AGAGUUCGAUCCUGGCUCAGGACGAACGCUGGCGGCGUGCCUAAUACAUGCAAGUAGAACGCUGAAGGAGGAGCUUGCUCUUCUGGAUGAGUUGCGAACGGGUGAGUAACGCGUAGGUAACCUGCCUGGUAGCGGGGGAUAACUAUUGGAAACGAUAGCUAAUACCGCAUAAGAGUAGAUGUUGCAUGACAUUUGCUUAAAAGGUGCAAUUGCAUCACUACCAGAUGGACCUGCGUUGUAUUAGCUAGUUGGUGAGGUAACGGCUCACCAAGGCGACGAUACAUAGCCGACCUGAGAGGGUGAUCGGCCACACUGGGACUGAGACACGGCCCAGACUCC